rnacentral:lncRNA from 7 species
UGUACUUCUCUUUUCAGUGCAUCGGGACAGCCUUCAGACAGCUUUGGAAGACUCCAGUCUCAAAGGGAAGAGAGAAAAAAACCAACAGGUUAAGUGGUGCCUGGAAUUAUUCCUGUUGGACUGUAAACUUGUCAGCACAGCACUGCCAGCCCAGAGCCACACACACAUUGCAGGAGUGAUGUGAAGAGGGGCAGAAGGAUACAAAGCAGAAGGCUCAGAGGUUGGAGCCGAAGGCUGGAGGUGGACAUCCAGGUGAGGAGAGACUGAAGAGUUUCUCUGCAUUUAGAUUUGGUCCAAAGGAGCUGCCUCGAAAGGGUAAACUCUUGCACCUUCUAUCCAGCUCUUUGUCCCCAGUGACAAAUAAAGGACCACCAAGAACAGUCUGAAACUUGUGACCAACAGAUGGAAAAACGUACAAACUCUUCUCCUUCCAGUCAAGAUAAAGGUUAAACAUGUAAAUGAGGAAAGCAAGAGUUUUGCAGUGAUGUGCUUUUCUUUUCUCCUUUGCCAGCUCAGAGAGCCACCAUGUGAAUAUUCCCCUGGCAUGCUUACACUCUUGCUUAGUACACUUAUGCCCAAGUUUUACUACAGGUAACCGUCCAAGUUUGAUACCAAUGGGAAUUCUACAGAGGCAGUAUAUCUGAAUGCAUUUUCCACAUCCACGUGCCCCAUGAUGAUAUGCCCAUGUAAACAUAUGCAAUGCACUGAAUUUUCCAUCAGCAGGUGCUCCAGAAGAAUGACUCUGCAAUCAAGACCUAGCUAAAUUCCUCUUAAAAACCCAGUUUUUUUCCUUCCUUAAUGAACUCCAAUAACAAAAUGUGCUUCUUUGAACACGGGAAGGAUCCUUCUCUGCAACCAUACCCUUGUAUUCUCCAAAGCUCACUGUUCAGCAAGUGCUUCUCAAGGCAUUUUUCCUCCUUCCUAUUUUAUGCCAAUGCAAGAAGUGGAAUAAGAAAGCCUGACUCUCAAAGUGUAAAAACAGACACAUUGUAGGCAAUUUGAGUGCCUGGUACAACAUCUGCAUUCACAGCAAUUUCCAGCCGCCUGGUGAGUUGAAGGUAAAACAACACAGGGUAGAGGGUUUUGGUCAAUAUAUCAACUCUUUGACUCUUCCUAUGGCUGACAUGCGUGACUGAAACUUCAUAUUUUUCACAAUUAAGAAAAAAAAUUAAAUCUCCUUCACAGAUUUCCAUCUCCAGAGAUUCUCCUUCUACUGAUGACUAAGUGAAGAGGGAAUUUCUGGAAUGGGUUGAUUUAGUUUGUGAUUUACUUCCAUUUUUCCUUGCUCUUCCAAGUGUUAAUUACAAUUAAUGGAAAUGGAGAAGAUAUUUGGGAACAAGGAGCUUAUAAUUUUUAUCUUGUUGCUACUCAGUAACUGCUAUAGGUAUAAAUCAAUGUAUUUAAGAAAAAACACCCUAGUAACUAAGUGAUGGCACUUUCUAUGCAUAAAGAAAGUGGCUUUUCUCCUAUGUCUCUAAUACCAACUGCAAAUUUAUGCAUAGCUUUGGAGGUCUGAUCCCCUAAUUCUUAAUUUUGAAAUGUUGGAAAAAAAUGGGUGAGAGCUUGUAAACAAGAUAUAUUUGGUCGUUCUUCCAAUGUCCUUUGAUCUAUGUAAUAAAGGUCAGCAUUCAGUGCUUCAUUCUACAUUCUCC